UAAACCAGCACCUCAAGUGGUCAGGAUGAUUAUUGGGCCUAAAGCAUCCGUAGCCGGCUCUGUAAGUUUUCGGUUAAAUCUAUACGCUCAACGUAUGGGCUGCCGAAAAUACUGUAGAGAUAGGGAGUGGGAGAGGUAGACGGUACUCGGUAGGAAGGGGUAAAAUCCUUUGAUCUAUCGAUGACCACCUGUGGCGAAGGCGGUCUACCAGAACACGUUCGACGGUGAGGGAUGAAAGCUGGGGGAGCAAACCGGAUUAGAUACCCGGGUAGUCCCAGCUGUAAACGAUGCAGACUCGAUGAUGCAUUGGCAUAUAGCCAGUGCAGUGUCGCAGGGAAGCCGUUAAGUCUGCCGCCUGGGAAGUACGUACGCAAGUAUGAAACUUAAAGGAAUUGGCGGGGGAGCACCACAAGGGGUGAAGCCUGCGGUUCAAUUGGAGUCAACGCCAGAAAUCUUACCCGGAGAGACAGCAGAAUGAAGGUCAAGCUGAAGACUUUACCAGACAAGCUGAGAGGUGGUGCAUGGCCGUCGCCAGCUCGUGCCGUGAGAUGUCCUGUUAAGUCAGGUAACGAGCGAGAUCCCUGCCACUAGUUGCUAUCAUUAUUCUCAGGAAUAGUGGGGCGAAUUAGUGGGACUGCCGUUGUUAAAACGGAGGAAGGAAGGGGCUACGGCAGGUCAGUAUGCCCCGAAACUCUGGGGCCACACGCGGGCUGCAAUGGUAGCGACAAUGAGUUCCAAACUCGAAAGAGAGUGGCAAUCCCUAAACGCUACCACAGUUAUGACUGAGGGCUGUAACUCGCCCUCACGAAUAUGGAAUCCCUAGUAACCGCGUGUCAUUACCGCGCGGUGAAUACGUCCCUGCUCCUUGCACACACCGCCCGUCGUUUCAUCGAAGUUUGCUUUUAGACGAGGUGAUGUUUAAUUGGCAUAUCGAGCUGA
rnacentral:rRNA from 1 species